UGGGGAAUAUUGCACAAUGGGCGCAAGCCUGAUGCAGCCAUGCCGCGUGUAUGAACAAGGCCUUCGGGUUGUAAAGUACUUUCAGCGGGGUGGAAGGGAGUAAAGUUAAUACCUUUGCUCAUUGACGUUACCCGCAGAAGAAGCACCGGCUAACUCCGUGCCAGCAGCCGCGGUAAUACGGAGGGUGCAAGCGUUAAUCGGAAUUACUGGGCGUAAAGCGCACGCAGGCGGUUUGUUAAGUCAGAUGUGAAAUCCCCGGGCUCAACCUGGGAACUGCAUCUGAUACUGGCAAGCUUGAGUCUCGUAGAGGGGGGUAGAAUUCCAUGUGUAGCGGUGAAAUGCGUAGAGAUGUGGAGGAAUACCGGUGGCGAAGGCGGCCCCCUGGACAAAGACUGACGCUCAGGUGCGAAAGCGUGGGGAGCAAACAGG
rnacentral:rRNA from 1 species